AAUAAAUACAGUUUUAACACUGCUCAUGCUCAACGUUUGACCGUUCGUCUUAUUUAAAAAAGAAUUAUGAUUAGUAUUGUUAUUGUUAUUAGAUGAUAAUACAUGAAUAUUAUUUUAUGUGUGACUAAUAUUAUUAAUUUUUUUUAUAAAAUUUUCAAAUAAAACAGAUGGUCCAGAUAUCUAUGGCUGCACUUAUU
rnacentral:pre_miRNA from 1 species